UACAGAGGUCCCGAGCGUUGUUCGGAUUUAUUGGGCGUAAAGGGUGCGUAGGUGGCAAAGUAAGUUGGAUGUGAAAUCCUGGGGCUUAACCUCAGAAUUGCAUUCAAUACUGCUUAGCUAGAGAGCUGUAGAGGAGACUGGAAUUUACGGUGGUAGCAGUGAAAUGCGUAGAUAUCGUAAGGAACGCCAGUGGCGAAAGCGAGUCUCUGGGCAGCAUCUGACACUGAGGCACGAAGGCCAGGGGAGCAAACGGG
rnacentral:rRNA from 1 species